AAGGUAGGGUGUUGACUUUGUACCCUCUUCAGGAGAUGGUGGUAAAGACUUGCUGUGCUGAGCGUUUGCUGAAGAUGACCUUGGAGGAGAGACGGAAAGAGUAUUUAAGGGAUUAUGUUCCAUUGAAAGAUAUUCCAACAUGGAUAGAAGACCUAAAAAGCAAGAAUGAAAGUGAUGGUGGCUGAAAAACAAAGUGUGCAGGCUGUGGUGCUUUAUGAAAGUCCAGGAACAACAGAAGAUUGGAUUUGAAGUCUCUGUUGAAAAUAGCAUUUCUUACUCAUGGUCCUACUUGCUUUCUUGGGCUGAGGAACAUCAGCAUGUCCUGGAUAACUCCUCUUCUCAUUGUGUGCAGCAUUAUCGUCUGGGUUCGGAUCACCAGUAAACUUGUCCACAUACACGUUUUUGCCCAUCUUUCAUUAAGUAUCUGACUUACCUUAAAAAAAGGACUAUGUGGUUUAGGCAGUUGUGAAUGUAACUUUAAGACUGCCUCGUUCUUGUUCUCCUUCAUCUCCAUAUGUAUGGAAGAGGAGGGACUCCUUGAUCUGAUCUCCUCCUGCUUUUUCUUUCUAUGUCUUGUUAUCCUACAAAGCUUAUUCUUGGAAUGUUACUACCAGGACUGAAGUGUCCUCUGCUGCCAGUCUUCCUACUCCUGCAGAUACAGGACUAGUUUUUCAACCCUUUUGUUAUCAUUAAGAGCGAAUACUGGCUCAGAUGAACAAGUGCGUGGAGCAGUCUUGUAACUGAAGGAGAACAUGGUCUUUCUGGUAAUAUUCCACAACGAGAUGUAGCCUGGAACUAAUCACCUGUUUUUGACGAAAUGGGAAGGCUGUAACAAACUUUCUUCAGUGCAGUCUGGACAAGCUAAUAGACUUGCAGGUGCCAGUUUCAUAGACAUGUAAUGCUAUCAUCUAUUCCUAAAAGCAUCUUGAAUGAUUUUUGAAGCGAAAAUCGAUAUCGAAAGAUGCUGAGCUCUUCAGCUCUGUUUGAGAGAAAUAGUUGUAUUACAACAGUAGCUGUAGACCAUUGCAGUAGCUCUUUUGUAUCUUACACAUCAAGAAGCUUGUCCACCUAGAAAACAAAGGCUGCAUAAAAAUGCAUCAAAAGAUUACCUGACUUUUCAUUUAGGAUGUCUUUGAUGCAUGGGACUAUUCGGUCUGUCUGUCCUUCCUAUCCUAAACUAUGUUUUUCUUUCUGACUACUGUAGAGUUCUGGGUAACUUGCUAAAUUUCACAGAUCUGAUUCUGCUUGAGCUGUUUAAUGUGACAAGGUGUAGAUUUACAUUGUGGUUGUUGUUAUACCUUUCAUAAGUAAAAAGUCAGGGUCUAAUAUGUAGGUACAGAAUCAUGCCAGUGGUGAAUUUAAUUUAUUGUGCAUUCUCUUGCAUUCUUGCUGUUAGUACCUAGUACCCUGCAGAAAUGCUGGAAGGCAGAAGCUGAGCUGAAACACUUUUCUUUCUUCUUUUUUUUUCUUCUCUGCUACUUAAAGCUUUUGUUGUACUGUUUAUUCAGGAGAAAAUAUCCAUAGUCGCUUGUUUUCUUUUAUACAUUUCUUCAAAAUAAGCCGUGUGGAACAGUGAACAUGUAGAAGAUCAGACUGAAGUACUUCCACAUUUCAACUGAUCAGCGCAAUUAAAAGAAGUUUGUAUAUUAAUGUGACUGCAUCUGCUUCAAACUUCAUUUCCCUUAAACGUUGACUUCAUUCUGAAGGUAUCAAGAGCAUGUAAGAGCUGUCCUUCUGAACUGAAAUACUGAAAAAUUAGAGUUGAGGUCUACUUGCUGAGGAGAACUUCUGCUUUAUCUACUGGGACAUAUAAAGGACAACCAGUACAGUCUAAAGAAGACUGUGGAGGGGGCAAAUGAAGCCUUUAUGAUGAAGUCUUUGGUGGCUUGAAAAUGUCAUGGCCAAGUUCUGCUAUUUUCUUCUAGUGAAAGGCUACUUCUUGCACUGACAAACUAGGCAGCCUGAAGAGGAAGUGUGUGUGGGGGGGGAAGAUUAGUACACUUGACAAGCCAAGAAAGCAACUGAUGAGGAAUGGGGAGAAGUUCUCUACCAUUUACUCCUAACACUGUGUAUACUGUGAAUAAAUGACAGAUUGAUUAGCAAAGUGUUCAGAAAGAGUGAUGAGGAGAAUUCAAGGAAGGAACUAAGAACAAAUACACUGAAAUAGGUGUGAUCAACCACCUGCUGGAGUAAGAGGUUCUAGGAGAAGGGGAGAGCAUCUGGUGCCAAAAGACAGAGUAAACUAACUGGGAAUGUUGUUCAGUACAGAUUUUUGGACUGACUUUUUUUCUGACUAAAAGUCAAAAAUCAUUGGAUGAACAGUACAAAAGUUCUAUGCUACCAGUUUUUCCAUGUGAAUGACUUAGUGGAGUGUGCUAGGAGAUUCCAGUUAGGCAUACCUUUUUAUUAUCUGGAAGUUCAACAGAUGAAUAUUGAGAAGUUUUUGUGUGGAACUGCUGAAACAGAAAUAGUUUCUAAUUGUAAUGAUAGAAAGGAACUAACCUGACUGCUAGAGUGGCUUUUAUGUGUUUUUUAUUGAGAAGUUUGUAGAACAACCUUAGUUUGCGGAGGAGAGCAUUUAGCUACCACACCCUUUGGCAUGAAAUGGCAUUCAGAAUUAAAUUGUGAAGACUACUAGUGAAGCCUGGUGUAAAGCUGAUCUUAAAGUAAAUUUUGGCAAGGCUGGAAACCUUUAUAAUUGAGG